UAAAAAAUUUGGCGGUAUUUUAGUCUAUUCAGAGGAACCUGUUCUGUAAUCGAUAAUCCACGAUGGACCUUACUUAAAUUUGUUUUCAGUUUAUAUACCGUCGUUAUUAGAAUAUUUUAUAAGAAUAUUAAUUUUCAUAAUUUUAUAUUUGAAAAUAUAUCAGAUCAAGGUGUAGCUAAUAUUUAAGUAGAAAUGGGUUACAAUAAAAUUAUUUAAAUGAAUUUAAAUAUGAAAUAUAUUUAUUGAAAUUGGAUUUGAUAGUAAAAUUAUAUAGAUAAAUAAUUUGAUUUUAGCUCUAAAAUAUGUACACAUCGCCCGUCACUCUUAUUAUUAAGAUAAGAUAAGUCGUAACAUAGUAGAUGUACUGGAAAGUGUAUCUAGAAUGACAAUUUAAAGCUUAUUUAGUAAAGCAUUUCAUUUACAUUGAAAAGAUUUUUGUGCAAAUCAAUAUAAAUUGAUAUAUUUUAUUUAUUAAUUUUUUUUUAUGUAAAUUUAUUAAAAAUAAUUAUAAAUUUUUUAGUUUUAGUAUUUUAUAAAGAAAAAAUAAUUUUUAUUAUAGUUUAAUAGUAUUGUGAAAGAAAAUUGAAAUAAUUUGAAAAAUUAUUAAUUAAAAAG
rnacentral:rRNA from 1 species